rnacentral:lncRNA from 1 species
AUUCACCCUCCAGGCCCGAGUUUCUGUUCACACAGAGAAACCUUGUGGCCCCCUAGGCCCCUGAAACGCCAGCAGAGUCCAGCAAGUGCCCAGAGCACCCCACAAACCAGCAGACCCAAGAAAUGCUGCGAGUAUCUGGAGGUAAUGCUGCAAUUCAAUCGCGGUUCACCAAAGUGUCCAACAUCACAUGCGAACCCAAACCUGGCAAGAUUGUUGCUAAAAAUUUAUAAAGGUAAUAAGGAACUAAUGCCUCCUAAUAUAAAAGAUGAAAUAUCCAGGAUACAGUCAAACAGCACGUGUUAUGUCAAAAUCAAGAAAACCAAACAAGAUCAUAGAAGACGAUGAACUUCUGGGCACAACAUGAAUCCUCUGAAUCAUCUGACAGAGAUUUUAACUCAGCCACAGUGAAAUUUCAACACUGUUACAAAUUGUUUUGACGUCACCAUCGUUUAAUUUUAGAACAGGUUUAGACUGACAGGAAAGUUCUGAAGACGGGACAGGAAGCUCCCGCAAACCUCUGCCAGUUCCGUACUGCAAACCCUCACGAGUGGAAUGUGUGCGUCACAACGCGGGGAGCGAGGGGGCCUCACCAGCAACUCGAAGCCGUACUUUCCUCCAGGUUCUUCGGGCGUUUGUCUCUUUUUUUCCUCCACGAUCCCAUCACAGAUAAACACGAAGCAUCCACCACACCGCUCCGCUAGGCUGCAGCGGCUUCUCAGACUUCCCGCUGCUGAGGCCCUGGGCCUUCCCCGGAGUCGCGGUGAGGCAGAGUGAAGUCUAAGCAUCCUUUCUUCUGGAGAAACAACAAGCUUUACAGAUCAAGCUACUACGAGUGUGUUGCUUCAUUCUUCAUUUCCAUCAGCAGAUAGGGAAGACUUCCUGGAAAAUUAUCACUGGUCGUUGGCAGUUGGAAGAACACACGGGCGGCAGCCUCAUUUUGACAAUAAGUACCACGGAAUAUUGCAUGGAGACUCAUGGGACCAGGACAGAAACAUGAAUGUCUUCAAGAGGUGUGAAAAAAAAAACCCAAAACGCAGUGACUGCUGCUGCUGAGUGCCAUCCGCGAAAGACAGGCUCCCAACCUGCGGUACUGUGCCGUCUUCCGCUGCCUUCGGAGGCCGCAGCCUUGCGACUUCAGCUCUUCCCCAAAGUCAAAAGGAUCACGAAAGUAAAAAUUCUGUUCACAGAUAUACACAACAUUACCCUCUGUGUUCCUGGAAAAAACAAAAAUAAAGUGGUAGAAUAAUGUAAUGCUGUGGGCCCUAACAGUGCGCAGAAACUGGCUUCGUAAAACCUGAAGCAAGGAAAGCAACGGCAUGAAGUCCGCAUGGCGGGCAUUCAUUCUUCCACUAAUCCGUGGAGGACCUCGGUAAUGA